rnacentral:rRNA from 1 species
UGGCGACCGGCGCACGGGUGCGUAACGCGUAUGCAACCUACCCAUAACAGGGGGAUAACACUGAGAAAUUGGUACUAAUACCCCAUAACAUCAGGACCGGCAUCGGUUCUGGUUGAAAACUCCGGUGGUUAUGGAUGGGCAUGCGUUGUAUUAGCUGGUUGGUGAGGUAACGGCUCACCAAACCGACGAUGGAUAGGGGUUCUGAGAGGAAGGUCCCCCACAUUGGUACUGAGACACGGACCAA